rnacentral:rRNA from 1 species
CCUACGGGUGGCAGCAGUGAGGAAUAUUUGUCAAUGGACGAGAGUCUGAACCCGCCAAGUAGCGUGAAGGAUGACUGCCCUAUGGGUUGUAAACUUCUUUUAUAUGGGAAUAAAAUGUUCCACGUGUGGGAUUUUGUAUGUACUAUAUGAAUAAGGAUCGGCUAACUCCGUGCCAGCAGCCGCGGUAAUACGGAGGAUCCGAGCGUUAUCCGGAUUUAUUGGGUUUAAAGGGAGCGUAGGUGGUUUGUUAAGUCAGUUGUGAAAGUUUGCGGCUCAACCGUAAAAUUGCAGUUGAAACUGGCAGUCUUGAGUACAGUAGAGGUGGGCGGAAUUCGUGGUGUAGCGGUGAAAUGCUGAGAUAUCACGAAGAACUCCGAUUGCGAAGGCAGUUCACUGGACUGCAACUGACACUGAGGCUCGAAAGUGUGGGUAUCAAACAGGAUUAGAUACCCUGGUAGUC